rnacentral:rRNA from 1 species
AACGAACGCUGGCGGCAUGCCUAACACAUGCAAGUCGAACGAGACCUUCGGGUCUAGUGGCGCACGGGUGCGUAACGCGUGGGAACCUGCCCUUAGGUUCGGAAUAACUCCCCGAAAGGGGUGCUCAUACCGGAUAAUGUCUUCGGACCAAAGAUUUAUCGCCUUUGGAUGGGCCCGCGUUGGAUUCGCUAGUUGGUAGGGUAAAAGCCUACCAAGGCGACGAUCCAUAGCUGGUCUGAGAGGAUGAUCAGCCACACUGGGACUGAGACACGGCCCAGACUCGUACGGGAGGCAGCAGUGGGGAAUAUUGGACAAGGGGCGAAAGUCUGAUCCAGCAAUGCCGCGGGAGUGAUGAAGGCCUUAGGGUUGUAAAGCUCUUUUACCCGGGAUGAUAAUGACAGUACCGGGAGAAUAAGCACCGGCUAACUCCGUG